CAGGAUAGGAGGGAUCCACCUGAAGGACAACGUCAAGAGGAUCAUGGAGAAGCUGAUGAGCAAUGACCUCAUGAGCAAAUUCAACAUGAAAGGAGGGAGGGGCAAGCUUGCCUUCACCAAGCUACGCCUUCUCAGUGUCAUUACAGAGAGUGUCCUGAAGACUCCAGGGAGGGAGGAAGAGACGGUGGCCAAGAUUUGUGAGGCUGUGGCCUUCUGUCUUAAAUAUGCCCCAGACAGGGUGGGCGGAGG